ACAGAGAGAAGCUGAAAAAUAAGGAAACAUAAAGCAGAACUUGGACUAGGUUUGGUGUAUUGCACUCUAUCUCCAUGUCCCCUGGGAGGGUCUGAGACUGGAGCCAUCUAAAGGUCCUAACAGGGUCCUUCCUGAGCCCAGGGAGGUGAGUUCCCAGAGAAAGACUUUGGGGUGGGUGUGGGGUAGGUGGUUCAGGUCCUGGGACAUGAUGGCAGAGCAGGACCUAGAGGUGGUUGAAGUGGUAUGUGAAAAGCUGAGAAAUAUUACACAUGUACAAACAACUGUAUUUUGCUGU
ensembl:misc_RNA RNaseP_nuc Nuclear RNase P